UCGACCAAUGACUCAGUCUUUGUCCAGGAAUCAUGCAGCAGUUCAGACAACUUACAAAAUAUCAGGUUCCCUCCCUACUUUCUCUGGAGAACAGUGUCAGUGGUUCUCAGCUGGCAAAGACAUGCCCACACUGGGCCCAUGUGACCUUCAGAUGACCUUCAGAGGAAGCUACAGAACUCUUCAUGGGGAAUAAUCCUCAGGACACCUUUUCGGAGAC